rnacentral:rRNA from 1 species
CCUACGGGUGGCUGCAGUGGGGAAUAUUGCACAAUGGGGGAAACCCUGAAGCAGCAACGCCGCGUGGGGGAUGAAGGUUUUCGGAUUGUAAACUCCUAUUGUUAGGGAAGAUAAUGACGGUAUCUAACGAAUAAGCACCGGCUAACUACAUGCCAGCAGCCGCGGUAAUACGUAGGGGGCAAGCGUUACCCGGAAUUACUGGGCGUAAAGAGCGCGUAGGCGGGAUAGCAAGUCUGAAGUGAAAUCCUAUGGCUUAACCAUAGAACUGCAUUUGAAACUGUUAUUCUAGAGUACGGGAGAGGUAGGUGGAAUUCUUGGUGUAGGGGUAAAAUCCGUAGAGAUCAAGAGGAAUACUCAUUGCGAAGGCGACCUGCUAGAACAUAACUGACGCUGAUGCGCGAAAGCGUGGGGAGCAAACAGGAUUAGAUACCCCAGUAGUC